AAAGUCUAAUCAGGAUCACACAACAAUAAUGAAUGGAAACACGCUGAAGCCAAGAAAGUUAAGCGGAGGCUAAAUUAACUUUGGUCGGCAUUUUAUCACAUUUUUCAUUUGAAAGUGAUGGAUUGGCCAGGAAAAGCAGAAGAACUUCAUUGGAGACAGUGGAUAUGGACUUUUAUUGUGAGUUUUUAGACAAACUUUGGAUGGAAAAUACAGUGGAAACACUGUAAACCCAAAGCGUGUGACAUAAAUGGCAUUUUGGGACACAAACACAAAACUUUGUUUCUCGCCCUGGAAAAUUGUAUUGUUCGGAACCAUCUGUUGAAUCUGGUGCUGGGACGCUCGUGCGUUACGCACGAAAAGAAAAGGCGCACAGAAAGGAAGCGCUUCACGAAACUAUUGGAAAACUAAUUGAACAAAAUGGGAAAUAUAGAAAGUGUAGACGGUCAGUCAGAAAUGAAGCAUCAUAUUAUGCCUUUGAAGGUGCCUAUGCCUGACCCCACAGAGCUGGAGGAGAAAUUUGCAAUUGUUCUGAAUUCUAUGAACUUGCCUCCGGAUAAGGCCCGCCUCCUUCGACAAUAUGACAAUGAAAAGAAGUGGGAUCUCAUUUGUGACCAGGAGAGAUUCCAGGUCAAAAAUCCCCCUCACACAUACAUCCAGAAACUGCGAGGAUACUUAGACCCUGGCGUCACGCGAAAGAAGUUUCGGAGGCGGGUGCAGGAGUCGACCAAAGUCCUGAGGGAACUGGAGAUAUCUCUAAGGACGAACCACAUUGGGUGGGUCAGGGAGUUCCUCAACGAUGAGAACAGAGGCCUAGACAUCCUGGUGGAGUACCUCUCCUUUGCCCAGUGUGCAGUCAUGUUGGAUUUUGAGGGGCUGGAGAAUGGUGGGGAGGAUGGCUUUUUGGACAAGUCUAGAUCAUGGAGCAGGUCUAUUGAAGACUUGCACAAUACAAGCACUCAACCCUUUUGCAACACACUGGUGCGCUCAGCCCGUCAGUCUGUCCUUCGCUAUGGCUCAGUUUCAAACAGCAAAACCAUCAAGAACUCGCGCCUCGUGAGCCAAAAAGACGACGUGCAUGUGUGCAUCAUGUGUUUACGAGCCAUCAUGAACUACCAGUAUGGCUUCAAUAUGGUGAUGUCCCAUGCACAUGCAGUCAAUGAAAUAGCGCUGAGCCUGAACAACAAGAACUCGAGAACAAAAGCUUUAGUCCUUGAGCUGUUGGCUGCUGUAUGUUUGGUUCGAGGUGGACAUGAAAUCAUCCUUUCAGCAUUUGACAACUUUAAAGAGGUGUGCAAGGAGAAGCAUCGGUUUGAGCGACUGAUGGAUUAUUUCCGUGGAGAAGAGGGAAACAUUGACUUCAUGGUGGCCUGUAUGCAGUUCAUCAACAUUGUGGUCCACUCUGUAGAGGACAUGAACUUUAGGGUCCAUCUGCAGUUUGAAUUCACCAAAUUAGGACUAGAUGAUUACUUGGAGAAAUGUAAGCAUACAGAAAGUGACAAGCUCUCAGUUCAGAUACAGGCCUACCUGGAUAAUGUGUUUGACGUGGGAGGUCUGCUGGAAGAUGCAGAGACAAAGAAUGCAGCUCUUGAAAAAGUGGAGGAGCUGGAAGAGCACCUGUCCCAUGUGACAGAAAAGCUUCUGGAGGUGGAGAAUGAGACAAUGAUGAAGGUAGCUGACCUGGAGAAGGUGCUUAUUUUAAAGGAUAAGGAACUCCAGGCAGUGCGGGAGACAUAUGAGUUCACAAACACCCAGGUCACCACCCUGAGGAGAGUGAUCAAGGAGAAGGAUGCCGCGUUUCAAAGGCACUUCAACAUCGAGAGGCGUCUGCUGGAGCUAGAGCAGCAGGGCACCAUCCGCCUGCACAAGAAGCCUGAUGGAGACAUCUCCAUUGAGCCAUUGGGAGUGGGGCCUGCGGCGAUUCCUCUAGGCAACAUUGGGCAGCUGUCUUUGGGCUCUACACUGCCCCACACUGAACCAGGAGGUCCAGACCUGAGUCUACCACCUGCCAGUGAAGCUCCUCCACCACCACCACCUCCACCACCUCCCCCUCCUCCACUCCCCUCUGCAAUAGGACCUUGUGCUCCAAUUCCUCCCCCACCACCUCCACCUCUUGCUCCUCCUUUGCCUGGAACCUCUCCUUCAGUCAUUUUCAGCACUGGUUUAUCAGCCAUCAAAAUAAAGAAACCAAUUAAAACAAAGUUCCGCCUUCCUGUGUUUAACUGGACUGCCCUGAAGCCCAAUCAAAUCAAUGGCACAGUCUUCAAUGAGAUCGAUGAUGAACGUGUGCUUGAGGAGCUUGACCUAGAGAAGUUUGAGGAGCUAUUCAAAACAAGAGCUCAGGGUCCUGUUGUCGAUCUUUCCUGUACAAAGAGUAAGGUAGCCCAGAAAGCCCAAAAUAAAGUUACUCUAUUGGAUGCAAACCGCUCUAAAAACCUUGCCAUCACAUUACGAAAGGCCAACAAGACAACCGAGGAGAUCUGUAAAGCAAUAGAGAAAUUUGAUCUUAAGGCCUUACCAGUGGACUUUGUGGAGUGCCUAAUGCGCUUCCUGCCCACCGAGGGAGAGGUAAAAGUAUUGCGACAGUAUGAACGCGAGAGAAGACCACUGGAUCAACUGGCAGACGAAGACCGGUUCAUGCUUUUGUUCAGCAAGAUCGAGAGACUCACACAGAGAAUGAACAUUAUCACAUUUGUUGGGAACUUUGCCGAUAAUAUCAACAUGCUUACGCCACAGUUGAAUGCCAUCAUUGCUGCUUCAGGCUCAGUGAAAUCGUCGCCUAAGUUGAAAAGAAUGCUUGAGAUAAUCCUAGCCUUGGGAAAUUACAUGAACAGCAGCAAACGGGGGAGUGUUUAUGGUUUCAAAUUGCAAAGUUUAGAUCUGCUAUUGGACACUAAGUCUACAGAUAGAAAAAUGACAUUGCUACACUACAUCGCACUCAUUGUAAAAGAAAAGUAUCCAGAACUGGCAAAUUUCUACAAUGAACUGCACUUUGUUGAUAAAGCAGCAGCAGUUUCCUUGGAGAAUGUUUUGCUUGAUGUGCGGGAGUUAGGAAAAGGCAUGGAUCUGAUCAGAAGAGAGUGCAGUCUUCAUGAUCACUCUGUCCUCAAAGGAUUUCUCCAGGCCAGUGACACACAGCUGGACAAGUUGCAGAGGGAUGCAAAGACGGCUGAGGAAGCCUUCAACAAUGUGGUAAACUACUUUGGAGAGAGUGCCAAGACGACUCCACCCUCUGUGUUUUUCCCUGUGUUUGUGCGGUUUAUCAAAGCUUACAAGGAUGCAGUGGAGGAGAACGAACAGAAAAAAAAGCAGGAACAAGCCAUGCGGGAAAAGUUACUUGCUCAGGAGGCUAAAGAGCAAGACCCUAAGGUCCAGGCUCAGAAGAAGAGGCAUCAGCAGCAGGAGCUGAUCGCAGAGCUGCGCAGGCGACAGGCGAAAGACCACCGACCUGUUUAUGAGGGGAAAGAUGGCACUAUAGAGGACAUCAUCACAGUACUGAAGAGCGUGCCCUUCACAGCCCGCACUGCUAAACGCGGCUCACGGUUCUUCUGUGAAGCCAACCUCUGUGACGACGCCAACUGCUAGCCCUGUCCCCUAUGCCAAGGUUGUCCAGGACCAGUAUGCCUCCUGCCCCCUGUGCAUGCCGCAUGAUCCCCUUAAAACAUCAACCACAUCUUAUAUCUUCUGUCAACUAACGUGGGCUGCCAUGGGUUAUUUGUGUCACUUCUGUUCCCUCCUAUUUUUAUUAUAGGAGAGAGCCAAACGUCUUUAAACAAAGUCAAUUAUAGUAUACGACUUUGAAAACAAUCUGCUUAUAUUAAAAUAUGAAUAUAAGUGAGGGUAAAGUCAUUUGAAGCAGUUCAUUUAAAUGACGAAAGAGGUUUGGCUUUUUAUGGUGACCACUGCCUUUGAGACUAACCUGUACGGUGUUGGUGUUUCCCACUAAUAAUUCACUCUUCUUUCUUCAUCCACCACCUUUUGUUCCACUCCUCCAGCUCAAAAGAAGAUAAAUGACAGUAUUUUCCACUCCUAAGAGAGGAUCUCCGAAGCCAGCCCUUCCUGCGAGCUGACGCACUGAUCCGGAGUGGUUGGAAGAGACCCUAAAAUGCCUUAAAGAUACUUAUACCACCUGCCCUGACUUAUCCUGCCCAUAACCCUCUUCCUCCCUGUGCUUUCUGGUGGUCCAUAUGCAACACAAGGAUGCAGAUCACAGGACACCACACAGGCCUUUUUCUGCUGGGUAAUUUAUUUAUUUAUAGAGGCCCUUCUAAGCCACUUUAAGGAAAGAGGAAUCAUUGCAGAGACACAAUAGUCUUUCUUCUCCCCCAUGAGCUAACUAUUUUAAAAAACUGAACUGGCUGUGGGACCACACAGCAGAAAAAGUGCUCUCUUGCCUCCAAGAUGGAAUUUACUAAAAUAUGCAGUUCUUAGCAGGACACACCAAGGGAAGAUGCCAACACUGCUGCUGGGAUGUUCAUCUUAAAACGUUAAAGUGUUGACACUGCUUUGAAACAUUUUGACACAAUUCAAUUCACUCAAUUACUUUGUAUUUUACAGAUAUUUAAACAUGCUAGCAAAGCCAAAAUACAGUAUAUCAGAUGUCAUGUUUGUGUCAAAAGUGCCUUUAGUGUAAACAGUGUUAUGUCAUGCAAGUCAGCCAUAAUUCUCUGUCAAUAGUUAUAUUUUUAUUGCCUUAUACAUUUUUGUCUUAAUGUACUUCAAAUAUGCAAAGACUGAAAACCCAAAUGUAAGCUUUUCAAAAGCUCACCAUUUUAAAUGUGUGAUUUGCAGCUCAAAAUGACAUGGCUCUGUGCCAUGUUCACAUGUUGAAUGCUUUUUCUUUUUUACUUUGACAACACUUUCCGUCAUGCAUCACAGUGACAUUUGGAGAGUGACAAAUGAAGAAAACAUGGACUACUUGUUCUCAUUCAGAUAUUGUUGAAUUACACAGUAGGUCUGGUGGUGGAUGAAGGAUGUUUAGCUUGACUUUCUAUAAAACUCUUGUUUUGUGGCAAUAUCCUGUGUUGUGUGCGCAGACACAAAGGGACAUGUAAAACACUAUUGGGUUUAACAUAAAUGAGACACUAUUGUUUCAAUGGAUAUUGAUAUGAAUGUACAUUCCAAUCAUUUUAUUUUAAACAGAUUAUAUUGACCAUCAAGAUGACACUUUGUUUUAAAAAUAAAUAUUGUAACUAAAAGUUU